rnacentral:rRNA from 1 species
UACAGGAGGGGCAAGCGUUGUUCGGAAUUACUGGGCGUAAAGGGCGCGUAGGCGGCCUUCUAAGUCGAACGUGAAAUCCCCGGGCUCAACCCGGGAACUGCGUCCGAUACUGGAAGGCUUGAAUCCGGGAGAGGGAUGCGGAAUUCCAGGUGUAGCGGUGAAAUGCGUAGAUAUCUGGAGGAACACCGGGUGGCGAAGGCGACUUACUGGACACAUAUUGACGCUGAGGUGCGAAAGCGUGGGGAGCAAACAGGG